CCUACGGGAGGCAGCAGUGGGGAAUAUUGCACAAUGGGGGAAACCCUGAUGCAGCGAAGACGCGUGAGUGAAGAAGUAGGGCGGGAUGUAAAGCUCUAUCAGCAGGGAAGAAAAUGACGGUACCUGAUUAAGAAGCCCCGGCUAACUACGUGCCAGCAGCCGCGGUAAUACGUAGGGGGCAAGCGUUAUCAGGAUUUACUGGGUGUAAAGGGAGCGUAGACGGCAGCACAAGUCUGGAGUGAAAUGCCGGGGCUUAACCCCGGAACUGCUUUGGAAACUGUGCAGCUAGAGUGCAGGAGAGGUAAGUGGAAUUCCUAGUGUAGCGGUGAAAUGCGUAGAUAUUAGGAGGAACACCAGUGGCGAAGGCGGCUUACUGGACUGUAACUGACGUUGAGGCACGAAAGCGUGGGUAUCGAACAGGAUUAGAUACCCGAGUAGUC
rnacentral:rRNA from 1 species